rnacentral:rRNA from 1 species
GGUAGUCCACGCCGUAAACUAUGGAUGCUAGCUGUAAGAGGUAUCGACCCCUCUUGUAGCGAAGCUAACGCGUUAAGCAUCCCGCCUGUGGAGUACGGUCGCAAGACUAAAACAUAAAGGAAUUGACGGGGACCCGCACAAGCGGUGGAGCGUGUUGUUUAAUUCGAUGGUAAGCGGAGAACCUUACCCAGGUUUGACAUCCCGAGAAGGUUUCCGAAAGGAAAUUGUGCCGUAAGGAAUUCGGUGACAGGUGUUGCAUGGCCGUCGUCAGCUCGUGUCGUGAGAUGUUAGGUUAAGUCCUUCAACGAGCGCAACCCUUAUAGUUAGUUGUAUUUUUCUAGCUAGACUGCCCUGGUAACAGGGAGGAAGGGGGGGAUGAUGUCAGGUCAGUAUUACCCUUACACCUGGGGCUACAAACACGCUACAAUGGCCGGUACAAAGGGCAGCCAAGUCGCAAGACGGAGCAAAUCCCAUCAAAGCCGGUCUCAGUUCGGAUAGCAGGCUGAAACUCGCCUGCUUGAAGCUGGAAUCGCUAGUAACGGUAGGUCAGCACACUACCGUGAAUACGUUCCCGGGUCUUGUACACACCGCCCGUCAAGCCAUGAAAGUCGCCAAUACCUGACGUGCCAGCUCUGCCUGGCCCUAAGGUAGGGGAGAU